AUGCCUUAAACUAAUGAGUAAGGAAAAUAAUGGGCCUGUAGGAGUACAGGCCUCAGAGUACAAAUAUCUCUGAAGAAUUUCUGUGAUGGCACAGGUCGCCCCUGAGUGACCCACUUACUUUCGUGGGAUGCUCACGGAGUAGUGAUCUUGCCUA